GUGUAGGAAGCACUAAUAUACCAGUGCAUAUUUCACUGUUGCUUGUGCAAAAAUGCGUGUCACAGCUGAGCUCUUCCCAGAUUUCUUAGAUCAGAUGCCCAAAUCUGGAAGCCCUGAGAUGCCAGGUUCUGCAGAAAAGAAGACUGACCCAUGCUCCCUGUUGCAGAGUAGAAACAGCAUCAGUUUGCAGUCACUGCUGUUGCCCAAAAGCAGAAGUUGUCCUGGUGCAACACAGACUCCCAAACCCUCCAGGAAUUUCACAGCCUUGUCAAUGGGAAUUGGUGGCUCAUCACUGUGUUUGGGUUACUCAGAGGAGCUGCUCUGGGGGUUGGCUCUACUUGAGUGCUGUGCUAACUGCUAGGGCAAGAAAAGGAGGGGUGUAUGUCUUGUGUAAUCCACAUCAUCUCUGAGUAGCUCAGUACAAGCCUUUUCACAUCUCACAGUCUUGAGAUGUUGCUGUGGUACCACAAAUUUAGCUGUAAAAACCCAGACCAGUAGGAAAAUAUUUCUGAAAUCCUAAAGGAGGUUUAAAUCUACAUGACAUUGAGUAAAAAGUCUAAGGGAGUUUCAGACUCCUCCAGAGGUGGUUUUUAUGGCCUGCUGAGUGUGGCUUCAUCUUCCCUCACACUAGGGCUUUCCUGGCAUAAAUGCAGCUGUUAAUUACAUUCAGGACCUUAUGGACAAUUCAGUGAAAACUCAGGACAAUGUGGUGAAUUGAAGCUGAACUAGACCAAACUCGGGAUGAAAAAGCACAGUGAAAGCAAGAUCACCCUCUAGUGUCUGAAGAGUCCUGGGUCGGAAGCAAAGAACAAAGAGAAAACCCUGUAGUAUUUAAUAGAGAAAUAAAAGGCAAAAAAAGACAGGAAAAUAGAAGCACUAAAAAGAGUGCAUAGAUGGGUUAUAAAUGUAACCUACUGGUUGUUUUUAAUUUUGAGAGAAGGUUUCUGGUAGGCAGAUUUCAGUGACUUGUUUCAGUAAUUAAUGUUAUUUAAUUGUCUUCGUAACAUGAAGGAUGCAGAAAGUGGGAGCACAAAGAAUCUGCUAAUGAAAACAGUUGAGAGACUUCAGGGUGGAUGGCAGCACAGAGAAAUGGCCUGGGCAAGGAGUGGGGGAGAUGGGCUGAUUUCAGACUUGUACAUGGUUGGAGCUCCUUAACAAGAAACACCUGUUUUUCAUCCUUCAGUUCUGCCAUUGAGGCACUUAGGUCAGGGAAGGGAGUCUUAAACUGAUGUUGUACCUUUGUGAAGCUGGGGAAAUCAGUAGAAACAAAAUCAGUAGAGCCUACUACACAGUAGUAAGUCUUGAGCAGUAAGUUGUGAGGUGGCUUUGUAAAUGGAAUUUUCCAUUUCUUCCACUGACACUGGACCACUGGGCAGGAGAGCUGGCACUGGUGGCUGGGAGCAGGGACCUGCAGAGAAUUGUAUUGCACUCCUUGGGCAAAUUUUCACAUGGGGAUAAAUUGUAAAGGUGAGAUGUCCACCACAUAUUGAUUAAAUCCCUGUGUUCUGCUCUGGUAAAGGUAGCCUGAAUUUGCCAGACUUUAUCAACGACUUGUGUUGCCAAAAGCUGCUUUAUUGCUGAGGAAGGCUGAGCUGGGCUUUGCUGCUUUACCAGAUCCAUUUUAAGCACGUCCCUUUAAUAUUUCUCCAGUAUGUUUGUGUAUGUGGACAGCACCAUUCAUGCUGAGCCCAUGUGAAUGGCAGCAUCAAGAGUCACUAAAUCUUUGUUGAUGUUCUUUUAAAGGGAAAAUAAAAAUCACUUGACUCUGACAUUUACAAUAGGUAUUAUCUGCUCUCUGACAUUUGGGCUCAUAAACCAAGGUCAGCCCAAUUUCUGUUCUUAACUUACCCUGCUGUAUCAGACCAGAUAUGAACUGACUGGCCACCCCUUUCUCUAAAUAGCAGCCACCUGCCCCUCGCUCCCAGCACGUGAGUCAGGAAGCCUGGGGCUCAUUUCAGUGACCACGAACUGAGCCUCAAGAAAAUAACCAAGCAUCCUUGGGAGUGUAUGGCAGAGCAGGGAGCCAGCUGAGGGUCUUCUAUAGCCCACUCUUGCACCAUAAUGAAUUAUUUCCUAGUGCCCACAGGCCCUCAGGAGGUCUGUGUGCCCUGAAUCAGGAGUGCUGGCCUGGCAGCAGCCGUGCCUGGCGCUAUCUGUGGCUGCUGUGGCAGUGCAGCUGCACCCUCAGCCAGCAGUUUUGGUGUGGCCAUGAGCCUGCUGCUGGUGCUGCGUGUGCAGCAGGGGCUGCACAGCUGUGCACAGCUCAGGAGCUGCCGGUCUUGAUGGUGGUGGUGUGACAUUGCUGUCUCUGGCGUGUAGGCAUGGUUUUAAAGGGAUGAGAAUCAGGACAAGGUUUUCAUGACUCCUUUGAAGACGGGUCACUUGGCAUUAACAGCGGUUUUCUGUGCCUGCAUUAGCCUGGUGGGGAACAGAUGAACAGAAACAAUAUAACCCUGCCCUGGGCUCAGUGGUUGGAUGAGUAAAUGCAGGGGUAAAUGGAUCACUAUGGAGCUGAGAAAUAUGAGGCUAAGACAGGAGCUGAGGCUGAGCAUGAAAAGCAGAAGGUUUGCCUGAUUUCCUUCUCUUUCCUUUUUCUUUGAGAGGAGACUCAAAAUGGUAGCAAGUGCUCCAGCAACAUUUUGAUUUUUAAAGGAGGACAGUGACAAAGAUGUAAUUAUGGUGGCACAAGAUUCUCUGUCCUGCUGCUCAUCAUUAAGACAAACAGCUUUGAACAAGAGCACUUACGCUGUCUUUAACUUGGCAUGUAUCAGGUUCAGUCAGCCAGCCUUACACUCUGCCCUGAACAGGAACCAAACUCACUGUAACCCAGAGCUGGGCCCACCAUGACCUUCUGGCAGUAUUUUGGCCCUCAUAUGCAGCACAGAGACCAGCAGCAGCUGUAAAAUUCACACAACAGUGUUAACCCUGCUGAGUGAACGUACAGGAAAGAUGUGGACGUGUUGGAGCAGGUACAGAACAUGGAUGAGCAUCUCUCCUAUAAAGAAACGUUGAGAUAUGGAGGUCUUCAGCUUGGAGAAGAGAAGGCACUGGGGAGAUAUUACCACAAAGUGGUAAAAAAAAAGCCAAAGUGUGUGUGGAAGGUGUCAAGCUAUGUAAUGAACAGUAUUUUAAAAAGAUGGAGUUUGAAGAAACUGUUUGGUUUUGAAGGCAGCACGAGGCAAAUUUUUCUGCCUUUGCAGAGCUGUUGAAAGACAAGAAGUGUUAUAUUUGUCUAAGAAGAUAAGAAAACUAAAUUUACUG